UACGUAGGGUGCAAGCGUUUAAUCGGAAUUACUGGGCGUAAAGCGUGCGCAGGCGGUUCGCUAAGACAGAUGUGAAAUCCCCGGGCUUAACCUGGGAACUGCAUUUGUGACUGGCGGGCUAGAGUAUGGCAGAGGGGGGUAGAAUUCCACGUGUAGCAGUGAAAUGCGUAGAGAUGUGGAGGAAUACCGAUGGCGAAGGCGAGCCCCCUGGGCCC
rnacentral:rRNA from 1 species